CACAAGAGGUAAAAUCACUGAUUAAUGGGUCUAAGGGGCUGAACCUUAGACCUAGUCUGGGGAGAGCUACCUAGUGAAAUUGCUAAGCGGUGGAGCCUCAGAACACGACAUUGCGGCUAGAGGCAGAGAUGGCAGUAGAGACAGGGAUGAGCAGUAGCAGCAAAGCAGUGGAAGAGGCUACAGAGGUCAGCUAAAGAGGCAUUGAUCAGUUCCCCCUUUCAGGGGUGGGAAUGAGCCACGUGGACACACCCUGAAUUCUGGGACUUUGCUGACUUCGGACAACCAACUACCUUUGCCUGAAUAAGGCUUGGGCUGUAUAGUACAUGUCAUGCUCUGCUGAACAGCAAUUCUCCUGGAGUGAAAUGUGCUGCUGAACAGUGGACAGCAACACUACACGAUACUUUAGGACAAAAAUUGAAGAUGAUCACAGUAAUAGCAGGUUUAUUGAAGUAGUGCCUGGGACCAUCAAGAAAGGAAGGAUGAUCCAGCAGUUUAGGGUGCUUUUGUAGGGCUUGGGCAAUCUGAGUUUAAGUCCCUGCUGUGCCACAGACUCCCUCUGUGACCUUGGGCAAGUCACAUAGCCAUUGUGCGCUUUGUUUCUCCAACUGUAAACUGAGGAUAAUAACCCUGCCGUACCCCACAGGGGUGAGUGGGGAUAAAGAUGUUGAUGGCUUCAGACCUAUGUUGAUCGUGGGUUCCAUAUAGGUACUUCUGAUAGGUAGAAUGGGCCCCCACUGUAGCAAGUGUUGUACAAAUAGAGCUGAUUGUCCCUGCCCCCAAAACCUUAACAGUCUAAAUAUACAGGACAGGGAAAUGGGCAUAACAGACAAGCAGAGUAAACAAAUGCGAUGGCCUGGAAAUAACCUGCUACUGCCCCAAUUAUUUGUAUUCCUUGGAUGUGGUUUAGUUAGAAGGGGAUUAGUUGCUGAACAGACAAAGGAAGGGGGCUAAGGGGCAUAGGAGAGGGAGGGAAGGGCAGAGGGGAACAUGGAAGCAAGAUGGGGUGAGGCUGAGGGGAAGGCAUUGAACCAAACCAAUCCCUGCUGUAGUGCUUGCGGAGGCAGCUUCUGCGUUUGCUCCUGCAGGCUACUGUCUCUGUGGCCUCUGGGACUAGUUCCUGUUCCUCCAUGGAAUUUUUCGUCCCCCAUCCCCAUAUCA